UUCUGGACAGCAUGCAACCCGGAGGGCGCUGUGGAGAAGUUUUCACCCUGAAGUCAGUGUUGACACGCAGGCGGUUUGCCCUUUGUUGUGCAGAGCGAAAGACCGAUGCAGUCUUGCCACUGACCGUUAGGAAUCAUCACGAAACAGCCUUAAGGUGCAGACCGCGUCAUACUCCCAGAGAAGUACGCAACUUUGACAACCUACGCUCUCUGAACGUGGCCUCUGCAGAUUAGCUCUCGUUCUCGGACUUUGGAACUGCCAAUCUGCCGUCGACAAGGCAGAUUUCAUUCCUGCCUUUGCAACCCACUCCAACCUCAGUGUGUUGUCUCUGACUGAGACCUGGAUCCAUACUGAACACUGCCACUUCAACUUCUCCCAUACCUCAUGUCCCAACAGGCGAGGGAGUGAUACAGGUCAACUGUGGAAGUUCAUCGAUGAAUUUGACAUGCUACUGUCCACCAUACCGGAUGAUGGAACUCCUCCUGUGGUCCUUGGUGACUUCGACAUUCAUCUAGACAAGCCACAUGAUUUUCUUGCUCACCUUCUCACAUUUGACCUCAAGCAGUUCAUCACACCAGCAACCCACAAAACCGGCAAACAGCUCGACCUCAUCCUCACACAACAACCUCCUGGACACCAAGCAGUCUGGCUUCGAGAGCAAUCGCUCCACGGAGACCGCUCUGCUUUCGGUCACCGAAGCCUUACGACUAGCAAGAGCAACCUCUAGAUCCUACUCGACCUCUCUGCUGCUUUCGACACUGUGAACCGUCCGAUUCUCCUGUCGAUUCUGUCAAGCCUGGGCAUCGCUGGAACGGUUCUGCGCCGGGUGGAAUCCUAUCUCUCGGACAGAUCCUUCAAGGAAAGCUAUGAGAAUUGGAGAAAGGUGGACUUCGGACUUGCUCAUGAAAGCAGUUUGCGACUAUACGAUGAUGUGGUACUGAAUCCCUAGGACACUUUCAUCCCUUCAAAUGAGGAUUCAGGAGGAGAGAAGUCUUGUGCCUCAUCAGAGCCCUGCAUAUUACUGCCACUGCAAACUUUGUCACUAUCCGCCUUUCAUUGUGCUAUAACUGUGACUCUCUCUGCCUGGAGAAUCUGAUCAAUACGAGAGGCUGAACAGAGACUUGAUGAGCUUCAAAUAUCACCAGCAUGCGAAGAUUUGGCCGCAAUAUCCGUUGAAGAAUGACCGAAAUAGAUAAAGAAAGAAGGUGUUAAAACACAAGAAAAAACAAGCAAACAAGAAACGGUCAUUAAAGACUGCCUCUGGAGAGUGUCGCACUCCCGGUGACCGUGUGAUCAACGUGGGCCUUCUUUAGUCACGUAGUGUAGCAAUAUCAGCACUAGAAGUGUUCUUUGAGAGCUUUGGGAUGGAGAUGCAGGAGAUCGACUAGUUACCUCUAUGGAAGCUCAAUGCCCUCACGAAGAAAGCCAGACACUUCUACCCAUUUGAAACACCAUACACUUGUGAAACAUAGCCAUGUAUUUGCUUGUAAUCUCUGUUUUCCAUUUUCUUGUGACCUUUUUGUAUGUGCAAACGGGAAGGAAUCGGAAGUGAUUUCAUUCAUCUUCUAUUUUAUUGUGUAGUGCAAAAUAAUUAUUGUGUUACAAUCGUUUUAAAGAAAAGGUGUUGUUUUGGCAGUGUAUUGUAUUUUACUAAUCCCUUGAUUUACUGUAUGUCUUUCUUUUGGGCUCAUUUGUUUCUUUUUCUGCUCACUUCUUUGCUAAACCCCACUUACCUCUUUCUCUAAGCUGGGUAACUUCCUCUUGUGUAACACUAAGUAAGUCUAAGUCCUGUCUGUGUUAGUUGUUGUGAUUAACGUAAUGAGCUUUCAUGUACACUUGUAUACUGGUGGGUCUUUGUCUUUAUGUUUGCUUCCUCAGAGUUGUUAACCUGAAAGCGCUCACUCAUUUGCCCCUGCACAUUCAGCAGGAUCUGGAAGCUUUAACUUUGUUCCCUUUGCCAUUUUCAGAUGUCACCUCUUUGAUGUGUCUUUUGUUCUAUAUGUAAAUUAAUUUUGAUGCUGAAAGGAUGUUGUACCUCAUAUGGUAUGGAUAAGCCUGUAGGUGCCAAGGCACAGAGCAUUGGGUCAUUUCCUGUCUCCUUUUUAAAAAAAAAAAAAAACCACACCCUUGGAUAUUGUAAAGGUAACUCAAUAAUUGUUGAUUGUUGUUGCUUCUGCUGUGCAAAUUUGUGAUAUUAUUGUAAAGACUCUCGUGUUCGCACUGAGACUCUGAGCCCAGGGGCCCCGACUAGCCGUAAGAGAACUCUGACGGAAUUGAACAAAGCAGCCACUGGUUAGGGGUGAAAACAAAGGAUGCCCAGAAUGAGCAGGGGGUAGUCUGUUUUCUGGCAUGCCGAAAGCACCCCAUCUGCAUCUAUGUCGGGUUGAAUCAAGGAAUGUAAUAUGGGAGGUGCCCACCUGAUGAGCCCUGGGAAGUGUCUGCCACCCAUAAAACCUUUCAU